GGGCGGUCCGCCAAUGGUUGGUACUGCUUUGGCUGGGGUUCACUUUCUGGUGAGCCAAUAUGCCCUUUAUUGGGUGUGUUGGGGACCCAGGACUUUUACCUUGAAAAAAUUAGAGUGUUCAAAGCAGGCGCAUGCUUGAAUACAUUAGCAUGGAAUAAUAGAAUAGGACUUGGGUUCUAUUUUGUUGGUUUCUAGGACCAAAGUAAUGAUUAAUAGGGAUAGUUGGGGGCAUUAGUAUUUAGUAGCUAGAGGUGAAAUUCUUGGAUUUACGAAAGACUAACUUCUGCGAAAGCAUUUGCCAAGGAUGUUUUCAUUAAUCAAGAACGAAAGUUAGGGGAUCGAAGACGAUCAGAUACCGUCGUAGUCUUAACCAUAAACUAUGCCGACUAGGGAUCAGACGAUGUUAAUUUACUGACUCGUUUGGCACCUUAUGAGAAAUCAAAGUUUUUGGGUUCCGGGGGGAGUAUGGUCGCAAGGCUGAAACUUAAAGGAAUUGACGGAAGGGCACCACCAGGAGUGGAGCCUGCGGCUUAAUUUGACUCAACACGGGGAAACUCACCAGGUCCAGACAUAGUAAGGAUUGACAGAUUGAGAGCUCUUUCUUGAUUCUAUGGGUGGUGGUGCAUGGCCGUUCUUAGUUGGUGGAGUGAUUUGUCUGCUUAAUUGCGUUAACGAACGAGACCUUAACCUGCUAAAUAGUUAUGCCAACAAUUGUUGGUAGUCAACUUCUUAGAGGGACUGUCGGCGAUUAGCCGACGGAAGUUUUAGGCAAUAACAGGUCUGUUAUGCCCUUAGAUGUCCUGGGCCGCACGCGCGCUACACUGAUGAAGUCAACGAGUCUAUAACCUUGGC
rnacentral:rRNA from 1 species